rnacentral:tRNA from 1 species
UCGGAUAGCUCAGCUGUAAGCAGAGACUGAAAUCCUCGUGUCACAGUCAAU